UAAGACUGUUACCGUGUUAGAUCUGCCAGAGACAGACAUCACCUCAUACUUCCCCGAGUGUUUCGAGUUCAUAAAUGAAGCCAGUCAGCAGCAGGUGUGUAUGUGAAAGAAGAAUAUCCAGAGAUAGUGUGUGUGUGUGUCUGUGUCUCUGUGUGUGUGUGUGUGUGUCCCUGUGUGUGUGUGUGUGUGUGUCUGUGUGUCUGUGUGUGUCUCUGUGUGUGUGUGUGUCUGUGUGUGUGUGUCUCUGUGUCUCUGUGUGUGUGUGUGUGUGUCCCUGUGUGUGUGUGUGUGUGUGUCUGUGUGUCUGUGUGUGUCUCUGUGUGUGUGUGUGUCUGUGUGUGUGUGUCUCUGUGUCUCUGUGUGUGUGUGUGUGUGUCCCUGUGUGUGUGUGUGUGUGUGUCUGUGUGUCUGUGUGUGUCUCUGUGUGUGUGUGUGUCUGUGUGUGUGUGUCUCUGUGUCUCUGUGUGUGUGUGUGUGUGUCCCUGUGUGUGUGUGUGUGUGUGUCUGUGUGUCUGUGUGUGUCUCUGUGUGUGUGUGUGUCUGUGUGUGUGUGUCUCUGUGUCUCUGUGUGUGUGUGUGUGUGUCCCUGUGUGUGUGUGUGUGUGUGUCUGUGUGUCUGUGUGUGUCUCUGUGUGUGUGUGUGUCUGUGUGUGUGUGUCUCUGUGUCUCUGUGUGUGUGUGUGUGUGUCCCUGUGUGUGUGUGUGUGUGUGUCUGUGUGUCUGUGUGUGUCUCUGUGUGUGUGUGUGUCUGUGUGUGUGUGUCUCUGUGUCUCUGUGUGUGUGUGUGUGUGUCCCUGUGUGUGUGUGUGUGUGUGUCUGUGUGUCUGUGUGUGUCUCUGUGUGUGUGUGUGUCUGUGUGUGUGUGUCUCUGUGUCUCUGUGUGUGUGUGUGUGUGUCCCUGUGUGUGUGUGUGUGUGUGUCUGUGUGUCUGUGUGUGUCUCUGUGUGUGUGUGUGUCUGUGUGUGUGUGUCUCUGUGUCUCUGUGUGUGUGUGUGUGUGUCCCUGUGUGUGUGUGUGUGUGUGUCUGUGUGUCUGUGUGUGUCUCUGUGUGUGUGUGUGUCUGUGUGUGUGUGUCUCUGUGUCUCUGUGUGUGUGUGUGUGUGUCCCUGUGUGUGUGUGUGUGUGUGUCUGUGUGUCUGUGUGUGUCUCUGUGUGUGUGUGUGUCUGUGUGUGUGUGUCUCUGUGUCUCUGUGUGUGUGUGUGUGUGUCCCUGUGUGUGUGUGUGUGUGUGUCUGUGUGUCUGUGUGUGUCUCUGUGUGUGUGUGUGUCUGUGUGUGUGUGUCUCUGUGUCUCUGUGUGUGUGUGUGUGUGUCCCUGUGUGUGUGUGUGUGUGUGUCUGUGUGUCUGUGUGUGUCUCUGUGUGUGUGUGUGUCUGUGUGUGUGUGUCUCUGUGUCUCUGUGUGUGUGUGUGUGUGUCCCUGUGUGUGUGUGUGUGUGUGUCUGUGUGUCUGUGUGUGUCUCUGUGUGUGUGUGUGUCUGUGUGUGUGUGUCUCUGUGUCUCUGUGUGUGUGUGUGUGUGUCCCUGUGUGUGUGUGUGUGUGUGUCUGUGUGUCUGUGUGUGUCUCUGUGUGUGUGUGUGUCUGUGUGUGUGUGUCUCUGUGUCUCUGUGUGUGUGUGUGUGUGUCCCUGUGUGUGUGUGUGUGUGUGUCUGUGUGUCUGUGUGUGUCUCUGUGUGUGUGUGUGUCUGUGUGUGUGUGUCUCUGUGUCUCUGUGUGUGUGUGUGUGUGUCCCUGUGUGUGUGUGUGUGUGUGUCUGUGUGUCUGUGUGUGUCUCUGUGUGUGUGUGUGUCUGUGUGUGUGUGUCUCUGUGUCUCUGUGUGUGUGUGUGUGUGUCCCUGUGUGUGUGUGUGUGUGUGUCUGUGUGUCUGUGUGUGUCUCUGUGUGUGUGUGUGUCUGUGUGUGUGUGUCUCUGUGUCUCUGUGUGUGUGUGUGUGUGUCCCUGUGUGUGUGUGUGUGUGUGUCUGUGUGUCUGUGUGUGUCUCUGUGUGUGUGUGUGUCUGUGUGUGUGUGUCUCUGUGUCUCUGUGUGUGUGUGUGUGUGUCCCUGUGUGUGUGUGUGUGUGUGUCUGUGUGUUUAACCUGUGCUCCUCAGGGUGGAGUGGUGCUGGUCCACUGUAACGCCGGAGUUUCUCACUCUGCUUCUGUUGUCAUCGGGUUCCUCAUGUCCCAGGAG
ensembl:lncRNA